CAUGGAUCCAAGAGCAAGUUUUUAACCCUCUCGAGGCCCAGAGUAGCCUCUGCCCCAACUCAGUCGGCAGCAGAGCCUGCAGCUUCUGCAGCUUCGCUGGGCCCCUGGGUCUCCCCACACCAUAUUGAGGAGUACCUGCUGUCUAAUUUCUUUGUGCCACUUGCCUGUUCAAACUGGUGCUUUGGGGUGCACGUGUUCCCUCCUAGGUGGUCAGCAGGUGGGGUUGGCCUGAGGCUCUGUUUGGGGUGCUGCCUAGAGAUGACACCUCUCUGGCCCACAGAGAAAUGAGCUGGAGGUCUCUGCCUCAGUUCCCUCCGAGUUAUAACACCUGCUCUGACCUGGGUGUUGGGAGCUAGAGGUCAAUGCCUUGCCCUUGACCAGGCCUCCUGACACCGUCCUGCCAGUUAGCAGGAGCCACUCCUCUAGAGUUUAAAAGGAAGCGAAACCUGUCCCCAAGAAACCGGCUGAAGAUAAGAACAAAUUGCCUCCCUGAGUCGGACCAGCUGCCCGUGGAUCCUACGCUGCAGUCACACCAGACUCCUCAUGUUGUGGGAGGCCUGAACUUCUUUUCCUGAGGAAGGAACUCAGAUAAAAACAAAUAUGGUCUUGCUCUUGCUCUGUCGCCCAGGCUGGAGUGCAGUGGUGCAAACUUGGUUUACUGCAGUCUUAAGUCUUAACCUCCUGUGCUCAAGUGAUCCUCCUGCCCCAGCCUCCCAAAGUGCUGGGAUUACAUGCAUGAGCCCCCAUGCCCAGCCCAACAAUUUCUUAAUUAUACUAUAGCCUUUGCUUCCACAGGAAGGAAGGGAGGAAGAAAUUAUUUUUUUUUCCGAGACGGAGUCUCGCUGUGUCGCCCAGGCUGGAGUGCAGUGGCGUGAUCUCGGCUCACUGCAAGCUCCACCUCCCGGGUUCCCACCAUUCUCCUGCCUCAGCCUCCUGAGUAGCUGGGACUACAGGCACCUGCCACCGUGCCCGGCUCAUUUUUUUGUAUUUUUAGUAGAGACCGGGUUUUACCGUGUUAGCCAGGAUGGUGUCGAUCUCCUGACCUCCUGAUCUGCCCGCUUCGGCCUCCCAAAGUGCUGGCAUUACAGGCGUGAGCCACCGCGCCCGGCCGGGAGGAAGAAAUAUUAAGGGAACAUCUAGUAUGUGCUAGAUAUUUUCCUAUUUUCUUUCUCAUCUAGCUGCAAGAUCAUAUGAUAACAUGAGACAGCAGAGAGGAGAAGACCCCUGUCUCACAGCCAGGAUUUGGGAUCCCAAGAAUGGAGCUUUUUUUCCACACUGUGCCUUGCUGGAAUCACCUCACGUCCCCACAUGCGAUGAGCUCAUCCUUCUCUUGGCACCACCUGCCUCUCAUCUUGGCCCUGGCUGGGACGCACCAACGUUUCUGCAGGAGGAAUAAAGCAAUAACAGGAAUCUCAUUUUUCUCCUUAAAAUAAUAUCUCUCUGUUCUGCCAGCAAGCAGGGAGCUACUCCUGCCAGCACUCCAGUGGGAAGCCUGUUCCCAAUCCGAUAGGAUUAGUCUGAUACUGGCUUCCCAGGAGCCCCCAGUAGCCAAGGCAGCCCUCAGGUGACCUUGAGCUCCUGGCUACAGAUCCCCUGAUGUCCUUCUCAGCCCCCAGAUAGUCACUCACCUCCAUGCCUCCAUCCCAGGCUCUCCAGGGCAAAGGGAUGCUAUUCUCACUAGUCCCAGGCUCCCCUAGCUGGUAGCUCCUUCACCAUCUCUCUAGGACCUAACCAAUUUCCUACAAGGAAAGGAUCACUGGAAAAACCAUUUUGAACAGGAAGAAUUUAAUUUUUUUGCAACAGGCUUUCCCCUCUUUAAAGAAAAGAAAGAAAAAAGAGUCCUCAUUUACCUAAAGGUCUGAGUGCCUGGAAAUUUCUUCCCUGUGUGCACAUUACCCACUUCCUGGCUGCAGGGAUGGAAGGACUCGGAGAAUUCGAAGGAUAUUAAACAGAUUCAUAAUGGACUCAGCAGUAUAAACAUGUCUCAAGUGCAGACAGAAAUGCCACAAGCUCCUACUUGGUUUAAUGAAAACAUACACCAGU
rnacentral:lncRNA from 1 species